rnacentral:rRNA from 1 species
UACGUAGGGGGCAAGCGUUAUCCGGAUUUACUGGGUGUAAAGGGAGCGUAGACGGCUUUGCAAGCCAGAUGUGAAAGCCCGGGGCUCAACCCCGGGACUGCAUUUGGAACUGUAUGGCUGGAGUGUCGGAGAGGCAGGCGGAAUUCCUAGUGUAGCGGUGAAAUGCGUAGAUAUUAGGAGGAACACCAGUGGCGAAGGCGGCCUGCUGGACGAUGACUGACGUUGAGGCUCGAAAGCGUGGGGAGCAAACAGG